rnacentral:lncRNA from 1 species
GCAGAGACUUAAAGCAGGGUGGAUGGAGUCAGCUCUGUCUGAGUGAGGAGGCCUUCGAGGCCACUGGGUGCAGGUCAGUAGGUAAAGCUGGUUUCCUUCUCUCUUCUUCACCGCAAAGUCCAAAAGCAGGGCCCGCGCUUUUUGUCCUGGGGUCGGGGACGACUCGCCAGCCCACUGCUCUCAAUCUGAGAACUUCAGCAGACAAGCCAGAGAAGAGCGGUCAGUGAAGACUGUCACGUUGCGAGUCACGGCUUCACGUUUAUCACCCCGCUUGCUCUGAGGGCACAAAGCCCCCAGGAACCCGACUGGCUGUGAUGGGCCCUGGAGACUUGUCUCCAUCCUUGUGGAUCCCUGUCUCCCCGCCUGCAGCCAAGGUUAAAACCACCCAGUGUUGAUCAUCGCAUCCUCAAAGGCUGUCUAGAGAAGCAAGUAAAAUGAGGGCGUGGAAGCCACUUGUGAAGCCUGUUCCAGGGGCAGGAGCCUUGCCCAGGUCCCCUGAGCUCAGGACGAGAGUGGGAAUUACGUGUGCAAGAGCUCAAUUGUGGCUUUAGAAGGCUAACUCACUCUUCCAGGUCAAUUUCAUCUGUGUGCUCUGAUUGUUGUUAUCAUUCUUUGCUGGGCCCCUUCUGCUUUGAGCUUGUUUUAUAUAAAGGUCCUUACAUUUGUUAUUUUUUGAGUAACUGGGAAAAUCCUUUGCCACAAUUUUCAGCUGCUCCACAGCAAAACUUCCUUCUUUUGCUUUUCUGUUCUUGUUCCUUUCUUUUUAUGUACUGGUAGCUUUCUUACAUAGAUCCUGCACUUGAUCGUUCCUCAUCUUGAAAAGACAGGAAAUCUUUCCAGAUCAGAAAUUUGUGUGAGAUCUGCGUGUGCAUAGAGGUGCGUGUGUAUUCACACAUGUGCACGUCGGAUUGAGGCUAAAGGAACUUUGCUCCGGAGUCGUUGUGUGGGUAGUCGGCUCUUUGUGCAGUUCAGCUCAAGAUGCACAGUGCAGACUUGUCUCCCCUUUUCCUCCCCUAGGCUUCCCUGGUGGCUCAGACGGUAAAGCGCCUGCCUGGAAUGCGGGAGACCCAGGUUCGAUCCCUGGGUCAGGAAGAUCCCCUGGAGAAGGAAAUGACAACCCACUCCAGUACUCUUGCCUGGAGAAUUCCAUGGUUGGAGGAGCCCAAUGGGCUACAGUCCAUGGGGUCGCAAAGAGUCGGAUGCAAUUGAGCGACUUCACUUCACUUUGCUCUGCUGCAGCGAGGCCGGGAAUUGACGAUCUGUCUGCCCAAACCCUGAGAAGACAGUGACGGAAAAUACUGUGGCUCAACUGGAACACAUCGAGAGGCGUUUUCUGAUUGCUUUCAAGACUUGGUGAGUGUGAGGUUUAUAUGAGGAGAAAAGGAGUUAUUUAAGUUACAGGAGUUUUCGUCUAGAAUGG